GAGAGGGCCGGGUUGGAGGGGAACACGGGGUUGGAGGGUUAGCGGGAUCCCCGCGAGGUGCCCGGAUGUGGCGAAGGUGGGGAAUGAGGACGUGUUUCCGAGACUAAGGCCCCUCUGGAGACCACUCCCCAGCUCCGCCUAUUGGAGGCGUCCAAGCCUCUUUUUCCGCCCAGCUAGAGGAAAAGCGAGGGAGUUGGGGGACAGGUGCUAAGCAAAAUGAUUUGAAUUUUGCCCAGCCCGUCUUGCGCGGUGCUUGAGCACCGAUCUGUGAACCAGGUUGGUUUCCGGUUAGGGAACUUGCCGGGGUUGCGGGCUCCAUCUCCAGUGGAGGGCCUGCCGGAGGCGGCCGAUUAGCGAAUGACUCUCGCACCACCUCCUGUGCGUCCAGACCAGGGGUGGAACCGGAAACCUAGGCGUGUGCCCUGACUGGGAAUCAACCGAUAGCCUUUGGGUUCACGGAAGGACGCUCCAGCCAACGGAGCCACACCGGCCAGGGCAAGUGAUUCUUUAAGAUCUACCGAAGCGGAGUCACUCUCAAAUGUAAGCAGUAUCCGGGGUAGAAGUUUUGUCCGCUGUGCUUGCUGAAGUUUCUCCGGCAUCCAGAAGAGUCCAUGGCACGUGACCGACACUCCCAUCAACACACACAGUGGUACGCCUGGAAGCUUUGUAACAAGGAAGACAAGCUUGCUUAUAUCCUUUCAGGAUCACCUUUGGUAGGACCCAGGUUGCUUAUUUUUCAAUGACACGCAUACAAGGAGAGUAGACAACAUUGUAAUAUGUGUUCAUGUUAGACACGUGUCCCACUUCUAAAUGUGUUUCAUCCACAUCUCAGUAGAAAGAACAUCUACGUUUCCACAGGGAAUUUAAAGUCUGUCUAUAUGUAUGUGCCUUGCAGCAUGAGUGACAUAAACAUGCCAAUCUAGAAAUAUUAGAAUGUCACAAAGUUAUGAGUCCUUAAAAUUUAGUUUCCAACAUAUUCAAUAAAAAAAGCUUCAAUACUUUGUUUUGACCCUGGAAAACUACAGAGCAAAGUAGCAGAAUCUAGGAUCACCUAAAUCUCAGGUAAUUUUUUAUGUCAACAGACUGAGGGAAUUAUCAUACCACUUAAGCUCAUUUCAUUCUCACCAGGUAUUAUCACAAUAAAUCUUUUCCUCCACAUUGAAUCAGCACCAUAUGUAUUGGUAUCGGGAUUAAUGUUCACUCUGUAUGAAGUUCAGUUCUAUCAUAUUUCAGUGCAAUAAAUAUCAAACGAGAACUCAGAAUUCAUCUCUUUAGGGCAGGACCACAUUUGAGGAAAAGGAGACUAAUAAUAUCACCCGUAGCAUUUACUUAUUUAUUCCCAGUGUACGUGGGACCGACACAAGGACAGGUCAGAACGGCACACACCAGUAUGUGUGCAGGAUAAUUCCCCCCACGCUAUUCCACUGAAAGGGCAACGAGAACAAUAAGUUGAACUUUGCUUCCUAUGUUGUAAGGAGAGUGUACUCUACAUAAAUAACCAAUACUGUCUCCUACUCGGUGCAUUUUGGGUUCAAAGCUUACCCAGCACAUAUCAGACAAUCAAGUCAAUAGAGAAUAAGUCUCAAAUUUAUGCUUUACCAUGUUGAAGGUUUUGAGAGUAUUUGUUUCUCUUUUAGUACAAUUUUUCUUUCAUGUGUCUGGAAACAUAGAUUUUCAUUUCAUCCUCUUCAACCGUGAGUGUCAAAUACACAAGGAAUUUCGCCAAGUUGAAGAAAUCAAAGCCAUAGCUCAGAAGUUUUGAGAUUGCUAAGGGAUUUCCUAGCCAGAAAAUAACAAUUUUCCAACUGGGGUAAAAGGAAAAAUAUUUUGUAUACCUGUAAGCCAAUCCCUCCCCUCUCUGCCAACUUUCCAGCAAUAACUACAUGAUAACCAUCAACCAACCAACCAGCGUGUGAAGGCAAAUGAAAUAUUGCCCAGGUCAUUGUGGUGUCAACAAAAUGAAAGAAAAAGACAAAGUUUUUCAAAAAAAGCUGCCUUUAUUCCAUUUAAAUGAGUAUUCCUUAUUCUGAGAUUAUGUUCUUUCCACUUUUUGUAUGCUAUUAAAUGUCUUUUAUAUAA